GCUCAGGAUGAACGCUAGCGGGAGGCUUAAUACAUGCAAGUCGAACGGUAACAUGAGAGCUUGCUCUUGAUGACGAGUGGCGCACGGGUGAGUAACGCGUACGCGACCUGCCCUUAAUUGGGGAAUAGCCCUGGGAAACUGGGAUUAAUGCCCCAUAGUAUAUGUAUCGUAGGGAUAUAUAUUAAAGGAUACGAUCUGAUUAAGGAUGGGCGUGCGUGCUAUUAGCUAGUUGGUAAGGUAACAGCUUACCAAGGCGAUGAUAGCUAGGGGGCGUGAGAGCGUGAUCCCCCACACGGGUACUGAGACACGGACCCGACUCCUACGGGAGGCAGCAGUAAGGAAUAUUGGACAAUGUCCGCAAGGGUGAUCCAGCCAUCCCGCGUGCAGGAAGACGGCCCUAUGGGUUGUAAACUGCUUUUAUUAGGGAAGAACGACCUUCAUUAAUGAGGGUGUGACGGUACCUAAAGAAUAAGCACCGGCUAACUCCGUGCCAGCAGCCGCGGUAAUACGGAGGGUGCGAGCGUUAUCCGGAAUCACUGGGUUUAAAGGGUGCGUAGGCGGAAUAGUAAGUCAGGCGUGAAAGGUUACAGCUUAACUGUAGAACUGCGUUUGAUACUGUUAUUCUUGAAUAGAGAUGAGGUCAGCGGAAUGCGACAUGUAGCGGUGAAAUGCAUAGAUAUGUCGUAGAACACCGAUUGCGAAGGCAGCUGACUGGACUUUUAUUGACGCUGAGGCACGAAAGCGUGGGGAGCGAACAGGAUUAGAUACCCUGGUAGUCCACGCCCUAAACGAUGUUCACUCGAUGUAGGGUUAUAGGAAUUCAGCAUCCAAGGGAAACCGAUAAGUGAACCACCUGGGGGAGUACGGC
rnacentral:rRNA from 1 species